AUAUAAUGUUAAAAAUUGCUUUCUUUUAUUUAUUAAAUGUAUUUUAUUUCUUUUUGUUAGGUAUAGGUGCAUAUUUAAAAAGUGAAAAUCGUAAUUUGAUUUGUUUCUGAAAUAUGGUGGCACGUAGGUACGUAAUCUUCAACUUUGGACCGGCAAAAGUGGAAAAAUCAACACAAAAUAAAAACCAUAUUAAAGGCAGGCGAUUCUCAACAAAUCCUGUACACUUGAAAUUGUCAUUGCAAACUAAAGCAAAACAUUGAAUUUACUCCAGAGUCUAAUGCUGCCGAUUACAAUAAGAUGAUGCAUCCAUUAAAAAAGUAAAAUUAAGUUAAAAAUUAAAUUUAUAGUGAAAUGUAUAGUGAUAGUGAUCAAUAAAACAUUUUUAUAACGUUUAAACUUAAUAA